rnacentral:rRNA from 1 species
UACGUAGGGCGCAAGCGUUGUCCGGAAUCAUUGGGCGUAAAGCGCGUGUAGGCGGCUCGAUAAGUCUGCUGUGAAAGUCCAGGGCUCAACCCUGGGAUGCCGGUGGAUACUGUCGAGCUCGAGUCCGGAAGAGGCGAGUGGAAUUCCUGGUGUAGCGGUGAAAUGCGCAGAUAUCAGGAGGAACACCAAUGGCGAAGGCAGCUCGCUGGGACGUAACUGACGCUGAGGUGCGAAAGCGUGGGGAGCAAACAGG